GUGAAUCAUCGAAUCUUUGAACGCAACUUGCGCCUCUCUGAGGCAUGUCUGUUUGAGUGCCGCAUAACCUUGUGCAGCAAUGCGUAUUGACGGCUGUCUCUGGACUCUGUCUAAACGUAGCCAGUUGUCGUGGGUGCAUCCAGCCCGAGUGCUAAGCAUUCUUGGUCUGGCCGCCGCUGCGAUCAGCAAUCUACUACUAUUUUGGCCUCAAAUCAGGCAGGACUACCCGCUGAACUUAAGCAUAUCAAUAAGCGGAGGA
rnacentral:misc_RNA from 1 species